ensembl:lncRNA
AUUAAAUUCAAAUAAGCUUUAUUGGGUAAUUACAAUAUGCAAAAUAUCUUGCUAGAUGGUGUGCUGGUGAUACCAUAAAGAACAGAGGGGUCCUGAUCCCUGGCAACUCAGUCUGGUAAGGGAAGCAGUUAGUUACCUGAACAAUGGUUCCCAGUAUGCAGAUAGUAACAGAGAGCUACAGAAACAGCGUUCUGCGCUGCUUGCCACCUGAGUCUUGAGCGAGGAAAGGGGCUGUAUUUGCACAGCAGACGUGAGAGGAGCCCUUUAUUCUCAACAAGGAGAACUUCUUCCUCCAGGAUAGAACUGCCAGAGCGCACAGUCAACCCCUUUCACAACAGACUAGGGAGGAACAAUGGUUUAUUGAGAUGCCCAGGGCCUCACACCAGCAAAGCAAAGAGGUUGGCAACAAACUACUAAUGACACAGGUUAACAUGCUGACAUCCCAAACUUCUGUGUAGGAGGAGUCAAAACCCAAUGAGACCAGAGAUAGUCCCAAGUCACAAAAAAAAUAAGCAAAUAAAUGUCUCUAAUGCCCACAUUGUGACAUCAUGACUCUGUGGAGCUUUUCAGGACGAGAAGAGGUGAAAAAUAGGGUCACUUGGAGUUUGAAGCAAGUAAAGGCAGAUCUCAGCAAUUAUGACUGUUUACACCUUACCCGCGUGAUGCUUACAACUCACUAAAGGCUUCCAGUGUUUCCCUCUAAUCCUGUCUGGCCUGAACCGACAUGAAGGAAGCCUCCAUGCUGGAAAGAUCACACGGAGAGACUAAAUAAAAAUAGAGAGACAUUCCUGACAGUUCAGCUGUGCCAGCCCCCAGUGGUUUGAGUCUCCCCAGCUCAGGCACCAGACACAUGACUGACCCUUCAGACGAUUCCAGCCUUCUAUCUACUUCAACUGAUGCCAAGUAGAAUAGAGGCAUCUGCUUCACAGGGGGAGAUCCUGCCCUAGUAAGCUUACCACCCGAACAGCCAAUAAUAUGAGCACCCCGAAGACAGAUGCUUCCAAAAGAGAGAAGGUCACUGAGUUGCACACGCCGACUGUCUUCUUCAGAAUAUCAUCGGAUGUUGCUCCUUCUCGCUUGUGUUGAGUAAGAGAAGGGAAUAAAAGUUCCCUGCCACCAUGCGAGUGGGAGGAAUGGGGAGAGAAGCAUGUCUCCCUCACCCAAGCCAGCAUUGGCCCCAGGUGGGAAAAGCCAGCUGGCGAAUGGAGGCCACCCUGAGCCAAGAGAUGGAGAGAUCCUUGAUAAGAUCCUUUGAAUGACUGCAUCCAGCCAGCCAGACGUUAUGUGAGCCCAUGAAUUCUCCUUUGUGAAGUUUAUCUUGAGGUUCUGUCACUCUUUGUCAAGAAUCCUAAUGGAGAUAUGGUUGAAGAGAUGCUCCCAUGGCACCAAAGUAGAAAUUAUAUAAAAGAUAUUUCCAGAUCACAGAGAAGAGAGCUUUUCUGUUAGGUUUUGUUGUUGCUGUUGUUUUUGUUUUGGUUUUGGUUUUUUGGUUUUUUACUGGAGUAACAUGUUUGGCCCUGAAGUUGGAAAGUUAUUGUAAAAGUUCAAAAGUGAACUGAUGAGGAUAUUGACCACUUACUAGUCACUAGUUUAUUGAUAGUGACUAAAGCAAAG